rnacentral:rRNA from 1 species
UACAGAGGGGGGCAAGCGUUGUUCGGAAUUACUGGGCGUAAAGGGCGCGUAGGCGGCCUUCUAAGUCGAACGUGAAAUCCCCCGGGCUUAACCUGGGAACUGCACUUGAAACUACGAUGCUGGAGUAUGGCAGAGGGAGGUGGAAUUCCACGUGUAGCGGUGAAAUGCGUAGAGAUGUGGAGGAACACCGAUGGCGAAGGCAGCCUCCUGGGCCAAUACUGACGCUCAUGCACGAAAGCGUGGGGAGCAAACAGG